ACUCGGGACCAAUCGAAUUGGCCCAAAAAAAUGAAAAGAAAAAUUCAGGCCCAAGUGAGGAGGUGGCCGGCCAUGGUCCUUAAUAAAGGACCCAAGCCCAUUUAAAUUAGUCAUGUGAUUAAUAAUAAAAAGGGGCUAAGUCUUCAUUUUCAACCAAGAACAUUCAUGAAGCAAAGAAGAGAAAAACAAACACAAAGAAGAGCAAAAAUAAGGCCAUUUCGGGUUUGGCCAUAGAAAAAUCACCCCUCAAAAUCUUGCCUCUAAAAUUAUUUUCUUGUUGAAUUCCUACUAAAUUAAGUGUCCUCUACAACUUGGUGUAGUUGUUUUGGAAGAAGGAGCACUUAUUUCUUCAAGUUGACAACUUGUUCAAGUGAAGAAGUUUGUAGAAAAAGAUUUUGGGCGAAACGGGAAUUGAAUUUGGAAAGGCGUAAAGAGCAUACAAGGUACAGACUACAGAUUUGCUGACCCACCUGCCUAGGACACCUAUUCUGCUAUUCUGGAGCGCUCUUUUGUCCAGAGCCUAUACUCUGGUACAGUCUGCUGCUGUUGGAUAUAUGUACGCUAUUCAGGGGUACGACGGGGCCCUGUCCCGUCUUAUGAUUCUGUUAUGUUCUGUAGAGGUCUGUAGACAUACAUGUGGGUUCUGUAUAUGUUUUGGGUUGCUAUGAUUUGUGAUAGCCUUAGCGGCUUCCAUGUGCUAUAUAUGUUCCUCUGUGACACUAGUAAC